CCUACGGGAGGCAGCAGUAGGGAAUAUUGGUCAAUGGGUGAGAGCCUGAACCAGCCAUGCCGCGUGCAGGAAGACGGCCUUCUGGGUUGUAAACUGCUUUUACCGGGGGAUAAAAUUCCCAUGCGUGGGACAUUGAAGGUACCCGGUGAAUAAGCCACGGCUAACUACGUGCCAGCAGCCGCGGUAAUACGUAGGUGGCGAGCGUUGUCCGGAUUUAUUGGGUUUAAAGGGUGCGUAGGCGGCCUUAUAAGUCAGUGCUGAAAUAUCCCGGCUUAACCGGGAGGGUGGCAUUGAUACUGUAGGGCUUGAGUAAAGUUGAGGUAGGCGGAAUUGACGGUGUAGCGGUGAAAUGCUUAGAUAUCGUCAAGAACACCGAUAGUGUAGACAGCUUACUAAGCUUUAACUGACGCUGAGGCACGAAAGUGUGGGGAUCAAACAGG
rnacentral:rRNA from 1 species